UACGAGGGGGGCGAGCGUUGUUCGGAAUUAUUGGGCGUAAAGGGUGCGUAGGCGGUUUGGUAAGUCUUGUGUGAAAUCUACAGGCUCAACUUGUAGUCUGCACGAGAAACUGCCGGGCUUGAGUGUGGGAGAGGUGAGUGGAAUUCCUGGUGUAGCGGUGAAAUGCGCAGAUAUCAGGAGGAACACCGGUGGCGAAGGCGGGUCUCUGGGCCGGAACUGACGCUGAGGAGCGAAAGCGUGGGGAGCGAACAGG
rnacentral:rRNA from 1 species